GUCUCUUAGGAGGAUCUUCUCUGCAUUUCGUGUACAGAUUUCUCCCGAAUCUCACAGAAGCAAUAUUGGAACAGAAAGUGAAACUAUAUUGCUUCUGACAAGCCUGCCCGCUGCGUGGCUUUUCCAGCUACACUGACUAGCAUUGUGUUCACCUGGAGAGAGGAGAUUCUAAACCAUCCACUCCCUGCUGAUCCUUAGUUUCUGGCUGGUGACACACCAGAAGGAUAGGAUGGCUCCAAUCUCCCUGAUGAAGGGGUAAUCACCUGACUUUCUCUUGGAAACAGAGGCACUGGUUCAGGUCCACAACAUUGAACUUGGAGAGCAAUAACCUCUGUGUGCACAG
ensembl:lncRNA novel transcript